ensembl:lncRNA LINC01278 long intergenic non-protein coding RNA 1278
ACCAGCAGCCUGAACUGGCUGGGGCAUCCGGAAGGCUUAGAUCUUGUGGCCAAGAGUUCAGACCGUGGCGAAGUGGAGAGUGACAUGCAGUUGGAUGGCGGUGACUGCGUGGUAUGGAAGAAAAUUCAGCUGAAAUUUGCUAGAAAAUGAGUUGUUUUGGAAAGAGACUGUAGAGAAAGGCAAAUGGAAGAAGAAAGCUUCUGUGCCCCCACAGAUACCGACUGAAAAGUGUUAGCAUGAGCAAAAGUUCCUAUCUAAUAUUAUAUGCUUUCCUUUGCUCCCAGCAUUCCACAAUCACGGGCUACUUCAAUUCUGCCUGCUGAGCUGAUUUAAUAAUCUGGAAGAGGAUUAUUCUCCCCCAUCUGGAAGAGGAUUAUUCUCUAUAAUCCCAGUUAGAGACACAAUGACAUAAACAUCGCUGUCCUGCAACCCUGGUUCCAGUCUGGCAAGCAUUGUAGACCUGGCUGCUGAAGACUGACGGGGCCCAGGGUCCGCUGCCCCCACCGCCAUCACCACCUCGGAACCCAGGGUAACGCUGUCAGUCUUUGAGCCUACGAGGAAACCAUUCGGAAGCUCCAGAACCCAGGCCCUAAUCACAACGCCCCUAUCCAGCAGGAAGCAGCCAGAUGAUCAACGACGCCCUUUUUCCUUUU